UGAGACUAAAGGCAUGUGUCCCAAUUCUUGU
rnacentral:piRNA from 1 species